GACCCCGCACAAGCGGUGGAUUAUGUUGUUUAAUUCGACGCAACGCGAAGAACCUUACCAGGCCUUGACAUACUCAGCAAAGCCCUAGAGAUAGGGUGGAGGUUAUCUGGGAUACAGGUGGUGCAUGGUUGUCGUCAGCUCGUGUCGUGAGAUGUUGGGUUAAGUCCCGCAACGAGCGCAACCCUUGUCUUUAGUUACCAUCAUUCAGUUGGGGACUCUAGAGAGACUGCCGGUGAUAAACCGGAGGAAGGUGGGGAUGACGUCAAAUCAUCAUGCCCCUUAUGGCCUGGGCUACAAACGUAAUACAAUGGCGUAUACAAAGGGAUGCGAAAGGGCGACCUGGAGCAAAACUCAUAAAGUACGUCUCAGUUCAGAUUGGAGUCUGCAACUCGACUCCAUGAAGGCGGAAUCGCUAGUAAUCGCGGAUCAGCAUGCCGCGGUGAAUACGUUCUCGGGGUUU
rnacentral:rRNA from 1 species